rnacentral:rRNA from 1 species
UACGUAGGGGGCAAGCGUUUGUCCGGAUUUAUUGGGCGUAAAGAGCGUGUAGGCGGCUAGGUAGGUCCGUUGUGAAAAACUCGAGCUCAACCUCGAGACGCCGGUGGAAAACCAUCUAGCUAGAGUCCGGAAGAGGAGAGUGGAAUUCCUGGUGUAGCGGUGAAAUGCGCAGAUAUCAGGAGGAACACCGAUGGCGAAGGCAGGUCACUGGGCCGCAACUGACGCUGAGGAGCGAAAAGCAUGGGGGAGCGAACAGG